AAAAGAUUUUCUGAAGAAGGAUCUAGGCCCGAAACAUCAGCUUUCCUGCUCCUCUGAUGCUGCUUGGCCUGCUGUGUUCAUCCAGCUCUACACCUUGCUGUAGAUCAGUUUUUACUUUUAUCUUAUAAAUACUAACAACAUUUUUUAAGUGCCAAAAAGAUAUAAACCAUUGAGAAAAAUGGACAGAUAAAAGCAGCGUUUAAGUAGUAAUGAUACCAUACAGUGUGUAGUUACGCUAACACUGCAACUGUUGGACGAUAGAGAUCACCGGACUGGAAAGUGCUCUGAAAGGAAGCUUGGCAAACUUCUAUAGUGCAACUCUUAAAUACUAAAGAGCUGAAGCAGUUACAAUGCUGGACCCAGAUUCUUCGACUCUGACCUCCCUGCUUUUGUGAACAAAUUCUUGAUGGUCUUGUGAGGCAGUCUGAACUCUAAGGGAAGCAAAACAUUCCUCUAGACCUCUACUUGCUGCAGCACGAUGUCUAGGUUCUGUUCGGAGGGCCUUGAGAGUGCUUCCUCGCGGGAUUCCUGGUUACCAGGCAUGAAACAUCCUCGAAUGAGCAAACAGUCGGCAUUUGCGUCAGCUGUGUGUGGCUGUCAUUGUGGGAUACUGAGAAUGGACAUAAUAAUGAAACAGUGAUGUAGGUCAUGAUGCACAUGACUACUGAUGUGACAAUUUUCAAGAGACUAAGAAGAAACUAUGGGCUAGUUUGUACUAUUCAGAAGUGUACUUAGAGAAAAUGGUAUUGGAUAUGAUGGCGUAAAUAAGAGUUUUUAUACAGCAGUCACUCUAGGUGAGAGGAACCCGUUACAGGCCACAAACUACUGAAAGAGACCAGAUAUCUUCUGGGUGGAUAUUGCUGUAGAGACUUGCAGAGCUACAUUAGCUGCUGCAUCAUGAAAGCCAGGCUUUCAUGGCAAACAGCAAAAAAAAACUGGGGUAAUAGUAUUCUCAAAGGAUAGAAUAGCAACAUCGCAAUAUUGUCUUGGACAGUGAACACACUGACGUUUGUUUAAGUAAGGGCAUGCAGCUGAUGAGACACUAUGUUUCUGCCAACAUCAAACUACCCAAUGCUCCCAGCACGAGGGUCACACAUCACCUCCAGUGGUGUGGCAGGCCUGUGUCCAGGGAGAUAUUUAAUUUACGUCCCAUUUACUGCCCUCUUAUUCGGCUGAGGAUGGGAAGCACCUAGCUCUGUUCCUUAUUCUUCUAUCCUCAAAUGCAACUCCCCACUUAAAUGCGACUCACAAAGUGCACGUGAAAUCUGCCCCUUAUAUGAAAUUCCCACGCAGAGUUAGUCACAAGUCUGGAAACUGUGAAAGGUUUGACUCUCAAUUCACGACCCUGUGUGGGAAAAUCUGACCUCACAUCUCUGAUCUGAUUAAGUAAUUAAUAUUAUCCAUUUUUUGUAAAGUGGAAACAUUUUUUGAGGGUAGUUGAAAGACAUUUUUAAAAUUCUUCCUUCAUGGUGUGGUGCAGAGCUAAGCAGCUAAUUUUUUAAACAUAUCCUGCAAAUGUCUGGCAGGCUGAAAAUGGUGAUCGUUAUUGCUUAUUAUGCGCAGUACGAGUUGCAAAUUGCCCUUGCAUAUUUUCUCGGAUUAGACGGUAACUCUGACUUGGCAUAAAGUACUCUGCGUGCCUUUGUAAUUUUGCAUUAGUUUAAUAAGACCUUAGCAUUUUGAAUGAGCUUUUGGCUAAUGCUUAUGAAGUUAUUUUGGAGUAAGCUGAAUCCUGGAGGGGAGCUCAACAUAAAUAACAUUCUAUACAUGGCAUUAUGUAAUGUUUUACUGAUAUGUCAAACAUUAUCAAAGAAAAUAUUGCCUCAUUUGGAAAGUACUGAGAUUAUAAUUUACACUUUUUUUGGUGCGGCAUUUGAGAGGUGACAUUUCAUAACAAAUCUUGUGACUCAACUCCAUUGGAAAUGAGUCUAAUAAUAUCCCAAGUUUGUAAUACCGAGAACAAUUAUAAUUGUGGUUGCACUCUAAAUAGUUUGGCAAGUUCAUAACAGCUACAGGUAUAACAAUGAAUAAGUAAACAUUAUUUCAAUUGUCAAAUUGUAAUGCAUACAUUUAUGAGAAACAGGACUUUCUGAAAGUGCAGAUUUUUUGAAUGAAAGUCUGUCAGACUUUUCAGGUGAAUUUAAAGAUCCUACACCACAACCAGAAGAAGAGCAAGGAAUCUUCUGAUUCACCAAUGUCUUUUAAGGAAGGAAUGUGCGGUCCUUCUCUGACUCCGAACCCACAGCAAUGACUCUCAACUGCCCUCUGAAAUGGCCUAGCAAGCCACUCAGUUGAAUAAACUGCUAGAAAGGAGAAAAGGAAAGAAAAUGGAUGAAACUCCUGUCAACAACCUGGGCACUGGAAACAGCAAUGGCAGAAACAGCCCUGUAGACGCUACAAGGUUCCCCCUAUUAACACCUGGGGUGCCCUAAACCCGGGACAGCUGUCUCACAGACUAGUCAAGCAACAGCCUUACAUAGUCCCACUCAUGUCAUACCUCAUAGGCAAUGUCCCAGACACCAGCAUCGCCAUUCCUGGAUAUGACUUGUUCUACAGGCAGGACAGACCCAGCAGAGGGUGCGACACAGUGAUAUACAGUUGGAACGGAAUUGCCCCGGGAGCUGACUCUAGAACCUAUGAAAUCUUGUGGCAUUAGGUCAAAACAUGGAUAAGGAAACCUCCUGCUGAUUACCGCAGACCGUCUUCUCUCCACUGAUGGCUCUGUGCUCCUCCAUGUUGAACAACACUUGGAAGAAGCACAGAGAGUAGUAAGGGCACAGAAUGUUCUCUGGGCAGGAGAUUUGAAUGUCUAUCUGGUCAAAUCCAAAAGGACAUAGCUGUUAGACGGGAUCUGUAGCAGGUGGUGAGGGAACCAACAAGCGGGAAAACCAUACUUGACCUCAUCCUUACCAAUCUGCAUUCCACAGGUGCAUCUGUCCAUGACAGUAUUAGUAAGACAGACUAUCGCACAGUCCUUCUAGAGAAGAAGUCCCGCCUUCACACUGAAAGUACCUUACAUCAUUUUGAGUGGCAGUAUUAUCGUGCUAAAUGGGACAGACUUCAAACAGUUCUGGCAACUCAAGGCUGGGCAUCCACGAGGCAUUGUAAGCCAUCAGCAACACUGGAAUCAUACUCCAACACAAUCUGCAAUCUCAUGGCCUGGCCUCCUUCCCCAGUAGCAUUGUGGGUCUACCUGCAGCACAUAGCCUGCAGCAGUUCAUGACGGAAGGUCACCACCAGCUAAACACAUGCAAUAAAUGCUGGCCCAACCAACAAUACCCACAGUCCCAUGAGUGAAUAAAAACACUUCGUGUUCUGGUCAACAUUUCUUCCUGAACCAAAACAAGAACAAAACAGAUCGAAACAUUUAUUUCAUUUACUGUAUAUGAAUUAGUUGACUGUAACCUAUAUUGUAUGGAGUUUAGAAGAACUAAAGGUGAUCUCACUGAAAAACUCAAGAUUCUAAAAGGACUUGACAGGGUAGAUACUAGCCGAGGAACCUGAAAUAUAUACACAACCUCAGGAUAAGGGAAUCAGUCCUUUAGAACUAAGCUAUAAGGAUUGUAUAUGGCCAUUGUUGAAUAUAUAUUUAAGAGCAAGAUGGACAGAUAUUUGGACUUGUGAGGAAUCAAGAAUAUAGGGAGUGUGUGGAAAAUUGACCUUGAUUUUGAGAAUCUGUUACAAUCAUACUGAAUGUCAGGGCAGGCUCAAUAGACUAUAUGGCCUACUCCUGCUCUUAUUUUUCAAGUUUUGACCAUCUCGCGGUUUUUAUUUUAAAUAUAGGUUUCUUUAAUUAAAUCUCCCAGCUACUGUGGUCAGAUUUGAGUUUAUAUUUAGAAGCCAUUCAGCCAGGUUUCCGAAUUACCAGUCCAGCAGUAUUACCAUGUGCUCAUUGGUAAGUAUUGUGUGCAGUUCUGGUCGCUCUGCUACAGGAAGGAUUUUAUUAAUUUGGGGAGGAUUCAGAAAAGUUUUACCAGGAUGUUGCUGUUACUGGAGGGUUUGAUUUAUAAGGAGAGGUUGGAUAGGCUGGGAGAUUUUUCACUGGAGCUUUGGAUGUUGAGGAUCUUAUAGGGUUUAUAAAAUCACAAGGAUUAUAGCCAAGGUGAAUAGCAAAGGCCUUUUUCCUCGGGUGGGGAGUUCAAGACCGGGGGCAUCUUUUUAAGGUGAGAGGAGAAAGCUUUAGAAGGGACCUGAUGGGCAACUUUUUCACAUGCAGAUUGGUUCGUAUGUGGAAUGAACUGCCAGGAGAAGUGGUAGAUUUACAACACUUACAUUUAAAAGACAUUUGGACAAGUAGGUGAAUAGGAACGGUCCAGAGGGAUAUGGGUCAAAUGCAGGCAGGUGGGACUCGUUUAGUUUGGGAAACUUGGUCGGCAUAGACAAGUUGGGUUGAAGGGUCUGUUUCCAUGUCAAAUGAAUCAAUGACUCUAUCAUAUCUUGUUUGUUGUGAUACAAAUUUUAGUAAUGCCCUGAAGCUCUAUAGAAUUGAUUACUCUAAUCUUUUCAUAAGGUAGGAAAGCUUUUUUUUUU